rnacentral:rRNA from 1 species
UAAGGGCGCACGGUGGAUGCCUUGGCACUAGAAGCCGAUGAAGGACGUUACUAACGACGAUAUGCUUUGGGGAGCUGUAAGUAAGCUUUGAUCCAGAGAUUUCCGAAUGGGGAAACCCAGCAUGAGUUAUGUCAUGUUAUCGAUAUGUGAAUACAUAGCAUAUCAGAAGGCACACCCGGAGAACUGAAACAUCUUAGUACCCGGAGGAAGAGAAAGAAAAUUCGAUUCCCUUAGUAGCGGCGAGCGAAACGGGAAGAGCCCAAACCAACAAGCUUGCUUGUUGGGGUUGUAGGACACUCUAUACGGAGUUACAAAGGACGACAUUAGACGAAUCAUCUGGAAAGAUGAAUCAAAGAAGGUAAUAAUCCUGUAGUCGAAAAUGUUGUCUCUCUUGAGUGGAUCCUGAGUACGACGGAGCACGUGAAAUUCCGUCGGAAUCUGGGAGGACCAUCUCCUAAGGCUAAAUACUCUCUAGUGACCGAUAGUGAACCAGUACCGUGAGGGAAAGGUGAAAAGCACCCCGGAAGGGGAGUGAAAUAGAACCUGAAACCGUGUGCUUACAAGUAGUCAGAGCCCGUUAAUGGGUGAUGGCGUGCCUUUUGUAGAAUGAACCGGCGAGUUACGAUUUGAUGCAAGGUUAAGCAGUAAAUGUGGAGCCGUAGCGAAAGCGAGUCUGAAUAGGGCGUUUAGUAUUUGGUCGUAGACCCGAAACCAGGUGAUCUACCCUUGGUCAGGUUGAAGUUCAGGUAACACUGAAUGGAGGACCGAACCGACUUACGUUGAAAAGUGAGCGGAUGAACUGAGGGUAGCGGAGAAAUUCCAAUCGAACCUGGAGAUAGCUGGUUCUCUCCGAAAUAGCUUUAGGGCUAGCCUCAAGUGAUGAUUAUUGGAGGUAGAGCACUGUUUGGACGAGGGGCCCCUCUCGGGUUACCGAAUUCAGACAAACUCCGAAUGCCAAUUAAUUUAACUUGGGAGUCAGAACAUGGGUGAUAAGGUCCGUGUUCGAAAGGGAAACAGCCCAGACCACCAGCUAAGGUCCCAAAAUAUAUGUUAAGUGGAAAAGGAUGUGGCGUUGCCCAGACAACUAGGAUGUUGGCUUAGAAGCAGCCAUCAUUUAAAGAGUGCGUAAUAGCUCACUAGUCGAGUGACACUGCGCCGAAAAUGUACCGGGGCUAAACAUAUUACCGAAGCUGUGGAUUGUCCUUUGGACAAUGGUAGGAGAGCGUUCUAAGGGCGUUGAAGCAUGAUCGUAAGGACAUGUGGAGCGCUUAGAAGUGAGAAUGCCGGUGUGAGUAGCGAAAGACGGGUGAGAAUCCCGUCCACCGAUUGACUAAGGUUUCCAGAGGAAGGCUCGUCCGCUCUGGGUUAGUCGGGUCCUAAGCUGAGGCCGACAGGCGUAGGCGAUGGAUAACAGGUUGAUAUUCCUGUACCACCUAUAAUCGUUUUAAUCGAUGGGGGGACGCAGUAGGAUAGGCGAAGCGUGCGAUUGGAUUGCACGUCUAAGCAGUAAGGCUGAGUAUUAGGCAAAUCCGGUACUCAUUAAGGCUGAGCUGUGAUGGGGAGAAGACAUUGUGUCUUCGAGUCGUUGAUUUCACACUGCCGAGAAAAGCCUCUAGAUAGAAAAUAGGUGCCCGUACCGCAAACCGACACAGGUAGUCAAGAUGAGAAUUCUAAGGUGAGCGAGCGAACUCUCGUUAAGGAACUCGGCAAAAUGACCCCGUAACUUCGGGAGAAGGGGUGCUCUUUAGGGUUAACGCCCAGAAGAGCCGCAGUGAAUAGGCCCAAGCGACUGUUUAUCAAAAACACAGGUCUCUGCUAAACCGUAAGGUGAUGUAUAGGGGCUGACGCCUGCCCGGUGCUGGAAGGUUAAGAGGAGUGGUUAGCUUCUGCGAAGCUACGAAUCGAAGCCCCAGUAAACGGCGGCCGUAACUAUAACGGUCCUAAGGUAGCGAAAUUCCUUGUCGGGUAAGUUCCGACCCGCACGAAAGGCGUAACGAUUUGGGCACUGUCUCAACGAGAGACUCGGUGAAAUCAUAGUACCUGUGAAGAUGCAGGUUACCCGCGACAGGACGGAAAGACCCCGUGGAGCUUUACUGUAGCCUGAUAUUGAAAUUCGGCACAGCUUGUACAGGAUAGGUAGGAGCCUUUGAAACGUGAGCGCUAGCUUACGUGGAGGCGCUGGUGGGAUACUACCCUAGCUGUGUUGGCUUUCUAACCCGCACCACUUAUCGUGGUGGGAGACAGUGUCAGGCGGGCAGUUUGACUGGGGCGGUCGCCUCCUAAAAGGUAACGGAGGCGCUCAAAGGUUCCCUCAGAAUGGUUGGAAAUCAUUCAUAGAGUGUAAAGGCAUAAGGGAGCUUGACUGCGAGACCUACAAGUCGAGCAGGGUCGAAAGACGGACUUAGUGAUCCGGUGGUUCCGCAUGGAAGGGCCAUCGCUCAACGGAUAAAAGCUACCCCGGGGAUAACAGGCUUAUCUCCCCCAAGAGUUCACAUCGACGGGGAGGUUUGGCACCUCGAUGUCGGCUCAUCGCAUCCUGGGGCUGUAGUCGGUCCCAAGGGUUGGGCUGUUCGCCCAUUAAAGCGGUACGCGAGCUGGGUUCAGAACGUCGUGAGACAGUUCGGUCCCUAUCCGUCGUGGGCGUAGGAAAUUUGAGAGGAGCUGUCCUUAGUACGAGAGGACCGGGAUGGACAUACCUCUGGUGUACCAGUUGUCGUGCCAACGGCAUAGCUGGGUAGCUAUGUGUGGACGGGAUAAGUGCUGAAAG